ensembl:lncRNA novel transcript, antisense to RNF144A
AGCUGUCCAAUGGCUCCUGGAGCCAGAGAGAUGGCACCCAGCAUGCUGCAGUCUAGCCUCUCCCACUGACCACCUGAGCCUGCUGAAGCUGGCUUAUAUAAGGCUUUGGAAAGAGAAAGGGCUUUGGUGACUCUCUGGAAAUCAGGAAAAACUGUUCCAAGAUGUGUGUUAGAGAAGGUCAGGAUCUCGUGUUUAAUAAGCAGUUUUAGGCCUGACUUCUCUAAGGACAGUGUGUAUGGGCCUGUUUUCCCCCAGUACAUAGGGUCAGAGUCCUGCCAGCAAUAGCCAAAACAUGGUAGAAUCAGUCAAGAGAUCUAACAAAAGUGCUCUUGGAGGAAGAACUUCAGAGAAAGAAGCAAAUUUUAUGCUGAGAAAUCAUGAUUCCACACUCUGGAGUGAGAACUCUAGAUAGUUUACUCUGUGGUCACUUACUCGUAUUUCUACAUAGAUGGAAGGUCUCGGCCCUGGAGUUCUGGUCUACCUUUCUGCUCCUUUUUCUCCAAGGAACAGACCAGCUUCCGCAGGAAUGAACCCAGAAAACAGUCUACAACUAUAUUUCCAGCACAGGGGCUGGCACACACUGAGUGCUGAACUGAACUGAACAGAUGCUGUAAGCAAGAAAGAGUCAAAUUUUGCAAGAUUUUACUGAGGAGGAAGGCACUACCUCAAAGCCAGGCUGCACAGACCAGAUGGAGGGCCUGGGUUGAAGAGCUAGCAGAAUAUUCUGAAUUCACAGUGGUGUGACCCUACAAGGACCAAUUUAUAUCUUCACCUCAUGUAUGGAUUAAAUAAGAUAGCCAAUACUCAAUUCCGGGGAGUGAUAGACACAUUUGUAAUCCUGCAUCAGAAAGUACAAAGCGGAGUGGUUUCCCAACAGCCAAACGUGGGGUGAGGAGGAGACUGAGAAAGGCUUCCCACAGGGGCUACUGCAUGAGCUGGGUCUUGAAGGAGGAGUAGACCUUCCCAGGGAUGGAGACAGGGUGGAUCCCUAGGAAAGGAAACAAGCCAGCAAAAGAAGAGUUUCUAGAGAAAGGAGAGGAUUGAUGGGUUCACUGGUGCUCACUGGAAACUAUCAAAUUUGUAAUGUGAGCAUCCCAACAUGCAGAGGAACCAGAAGUUCAAUAUUUGAGCUGAUUAAGGAUCAAUCAGCCAGUUCCCUGGGCAGGGGAGAGACUCUGCUUCCACAUUAUCAGGGACUCAGAGAAGCUGGAUAAACGUCUCUGCUUUCUUUCCUCUGGUCCAUCCUGCUCCAGUAUCAGUGGAACUCCCAGCUAGAGGAAGAAUGUACUUCAUUUUUAACUCUGUACCAGUCUUGAGAUUUCCUUUGGCAAAAAGCAAAAACAAAAA